rnacentral:misc_RNA from 1 species
AACUGAUACUACCUGCGGGAACCUGCGGAGGGAUCAUUACCGAGCGUUGCCCCCCUGAAAAAUGGGGGGUGCCUCCCGUCCUUUGCAGGCCCCUAGGGGCUCUCGAACCUUCUGCUUCGGCGGGCCCCCCCCGCCGGAACACCCUCAAAAAACUCUUGUCAAAACGGUUCCGUCCGAGGGCUUUUAAAAAAUCUAGCCAAAAACUUUUAACAAUGGAUCUCUAGAUCGGAAGAGCACACG